UGAGGCUGACACCCUGUUCACCAUAAACAGCCUGUGAGUCUCUGUUAGGGUUAAGGUGUUCAGUGCUCUGCUCUAACAAAAGUCUGCUCUACAAAAAAGAAAAGAUUCAACCCGACAGAGAGGCGACUCUGAAAGCAAAAGCUCUGAUCCAUCUGUCCUCACGCUAUUGUACUCCACUUGCCUUUUGUUGAAAAAAAGAAAGAAAACUAGCAUCAUGGGACAAUUUGAAGAUGCAGACUUGGGGUGGGAUGAGAAGAGCCACGACACGAGGCAGACUCAGCCUCCGAAAUACGAGGAGACAGAGACUAAAAGCUCCGGGAGGAAGUGUCCCACGUGCUGCCUGAAGACAAAGAACUGUCUGAUGAGUGGAGAGUGCGGCAGAUGCCUUCAGAUCUCCAGCGUCAUCGCCAUGUGUGGCAUGUGCAUCCGCAUGUUCGUAUGACCAAACCUUGGGCUUCAUAACCUGCUUCUCCCGGAUCAUCAUCACUAUCACCCUUUAUGAGUGAUGCCACGUGGUUUUCUUAUGAUCUGCUAAAAAAUUCUUUAUCCACAAGGUAUUCAUUUCACAUGAUCACUGUCUGUGUUUAGAACAACUUAGAAAGGCAUUAUGAAGGAAUGAAUAAGUGGAUGAAUGAGCAUGUUUGAUUGAUCAUUUCUGAUGGAUCUGUAUUUAGUAAAAUCAGAUGUCUAUAUUUAUAUUUUUAGGUACGAAAAUUGCAAUAAAAUAUAAAAACUAAUAUGAUGAAUAAAAUAGUAAUAAUGUAAAAUCAGUAUGAAAUUAACUUGAGAAUAUGCAGAGUUAUUCUGUUUAUGCUACAGUGUAAAACAUUUUCUCUUACAAUAUGAGUGAGAGGGUUUUGGUGAGAAAACAGUGACAUAUCUGAACAAAUGCAAAACUUUGAAUAAAGCUUCCAGUAACAACAAGAACAAAAAGUUUUUCAUUUCAAUGCCAGCAAUGAUAAAAACCUGCAAUUAAUUAAAAUCCUUUGACGAGCAUGAUGCAACGACA